rnacentral:rRNA from 1 species
GAUGAACGCUGGCGGCGUGCCUAAUACAUGCAAGUCGAGCGAACGGACGAGAAGCUUGCUUCUCUGAUGUUAGCGGCGGAGGGGUGAGUCACACGUGGAUCCCCUACCUAUAAGACUGGGAUAACUUCGGGAAACCGUCGCUUAUACCGGAUAAUCUUUUGCACCGCAUGGUUCAAUAGUGAAAGACGGUCUUUCUGUCACGUCUCGAUGGAUCCGCGCUGCAUUAGCUAGUUGGUAAGGUAAAGGCUUUCCAAGGCAACGAUGCAUAGCCGACCUGAGAGGGUGAUCGCCCACACGGGAACUGAGACACGGUCCAGACUCCUACGGGAGGCAGCAGUAGGGAAUCUUCGGCAAUGGGCGAAAGCCUGACGGAGCAACGCCGCGUGAGUGAUGAAGGUCUUCGGAUCGUAAAACUCUGUUAUUAGGGAAGAACAUAUGUGUAAGUAACUGUGCACAUCUUGACGGUACCUAAUCAGAAAGCCACGGCUAACUACGUG